CUGCUGCCUCCCGUAGGAGUCUGGUCCGUGUCUCAGUACCAGUGUGGGGGACCUUCCUCUCAGAACCCCUACGCAUCGUCGCCUCGGUGGGCCGUUACCCCGCCGACUAGCUAAUGCGCCGCAUGCCCAUCCGUGGCCGGGAUUGCUCCCUUUGGCGGCCUUGGGAUGCCCCAAGGCCGCGUUACGCGGUAUUAGACGGGGUUUCCCCCGCUUAUCCCCCUGCCACGGGCAGGUUGCAUACGUGUUACUCACCCGUGCGCCGGUCGCCGGCAACGG
rnacentral:rRNA from 1 species